rnacentral:rRNA from 1 species
UACGUAGGGGGCAAGCGUUGUCCGGAUUUAUUGGGCGUAAAGAGCGUGUAGGCGGCUUUACAGGUCCGUUGUGAAAACUCGAGGCUCAACCUCGAGACGCCGGUGGAAACCGUAAAGCUAGAGUCCGGAAGAGGAGAGUGGAAUUCCUGGUGUAGCGGUGAAAUGCGCAGAUAUCAGGAGGAACACCCGUGGCGAAAGCGGCUCUCUGGGGACGGUACUGACGCUGAGACGCGAAAAGCGUGGGGGAGCAAACAGG